UACGGAGGGUGCAAGCGUUGCUCGGAAUUACUGGGCGUAAAGCGCGUGUAGGCGGCCUCGUAUGUCUGGUGUGAAAUCCCCGGGCUCAACCCGGGAAGUGCACUGGAAACUGCGAGACUAGAGUCCCGGAGAGGAAGGUGGAAUUCCAGGUGUAGCGGUGAAAUGCGUAGAUAUCUGGAAGAACACCGGUGGCGAAGGCGGCCUUCUGGACGGUGACUGACGCUGAGACGCGAAAGCGUGGGGAGCAAACAGG
rnacentral:rRNA from 1 species